rnacentral:lncRNA from 1 species
CCGCUCGAUCUGUAAAGGCAGCGCCCCCCGCUUCUCAUCCUCACUCAGAAUAUAGUUAAAAUCACCAAUCACUACCGUCGGGAUACCCUGGGCGGUCAGGUUGAUGAUCUCCUGCCAAAGGACUCUCCUAACUCGGUGGUCCAUGCACGCGUAUACACCGCACAGUACCUAUGGAGCAGCGUCGGGUUCUGAUAUGACCAUGAUUAUUUGUUGAGAGUAGUUGUGGAAGACAUCAAUCGUCGCCACACCCCACCUCCACAGAACCAAAAUCCCUCCCGACAACCCCUGGGAGUCGACCGCAUAGGUCUCCCAAUCCCUCUCCAUACGCCGCCUCAAUCGGCUGAGCCCCUCGCCAGAUAAUCGGGUCUCACAAAGGAAAUAGAUCUCCGGACAGUAGACCUGCACCAAUCGUUUGAACAAAGACAUGAAAGACGGCUUGGCCACCCCCCUACAAUUCCAAGCAAGAAUCAUCAUGGAUCACAAUCCACAUAGUCGGCCUCAGACUCAUCCUCUCCUAAAGUCGCGGGACCGUCCUCAGGCUCGGCGCCCAGGCAGCCUCGCUCCUCC